AUUGAACGCUGGCGGCAGGCCUAACACAUGCAAGUCGAACGAGUGGCGGACGGGUGAGUAAUGUCUGGGAAACUGCCUGAUGGAGGGGGAUAACUACUGGAAACGGUAGCUAAUACCGCAUACCAUCAGAUGUGCCCAGAUGGGAUUAGCUAGUUGGUGGGGUAACGGCUCACCAAGGCGACGAUCCCUAGCUGGUCUGAGAGGCUGACCAGCCAAACUGGAACUGGGACACGGUCCAGACUCCUACGGGAGGCAGCAGUGGGGAAUAUUGCACAAUGGGCGGAAGCCUGGUGCAGCCAUGCCGGGGGUAGGAAGAAGGCCUUCGGGUUGUAAAGCACUUUAAGUUGGGGGGCGUGACCAACAGAAUAAGCACCGGCUAACUCCGUGCCAGCAGCCGCGGUAAUACC
rnacentral:rRNA from 1 species